GGGUGCGAUCAUACCAGCACU
rnacentral:rRNA from 1 species